GUGGAAGUCCUCAUGGCUGUAGCACUGAGCAGUGUGCUACAUCCGGUUCUGCUCCACACAGAGUGAGGCUGGUUCCUGCCGACAGGGCCUGUAAAGACAUUGGUUUCCCUGUGCGAUGGUUCCAUACACU
ensembl:scaRNA small Cajal body-specific RNA 14